GUCAGUCUCAGUCAGAUACUGCAGUUGUGAAGCAGCCAGGUAUGGGAAAGAAUGACCAAACAUGGAGAGGACUGAGUAGCUCAUUGAGUACCCCAUCCCUAAUUCUUCCCAUACUCAACAGCUGCUGACAUUACCAGUUUUUCAGCAUUCAUGUCUGGCCUUUUUAUGUAUGAGAGAAGCAAAUAGCACAGCCAUUUUGCUACUGCAGAUGUGUUGUGGAUUUGUGACAGUGUAGUUUUGGAAAACUUUCACAAGAGGGAGUAGAGAGCUAAUAUUUCUGCUGGUCGUUUCAACAGCUGGCAUACAGUACUGCAGUAGCAAUCUGCGGCAUGCUUUGUUGUAGAUAUCUGAUAAUUCCUCUAUCAGAAAAUAAUGUUUUGAAUGCAGCUAUAUGACAACGGAUCCUUCACCAUCUUGAUGUGCCUCUGAUUCCCUCUGGGGAGUGAUUUAAAAGAUACAGACUAAUACACAAGGAAUACAGAAACGAUUGUGUUUACCACAGGCAAAACCUGAAGGUCAGAUCCUCUUCCACAUGACCCUUCGUUCUGCUUUGGAAG